UAGGGAAUCUUCGGCAAUGGACGAAAGUCUGACCGAGCAACGCCGCGUGAGUGUAGAAGGUUUUCGGAUCGUAAAACUCUGUUGUUAGAGAAGAACAAGGACGUUAGUAACUGAACGUCCCCUGACGGUAUCUAACCAGAAAGCCACGGCUAACUACGUGCCAGCAGCCGCGGUAAUACGUAGGUGGCAAGCGUUGUCCGGAUUUAUUGGGCGUAAAGCGAGCGCAGGCGGUUUCUUAAGUCUGAUGUGAAAGCCCCCGGCUCAACCGGGGAGGGUCAUUGGAAACUGGGAGGCUUGCGUGCAGAAGAGGAGAGUGAAAUUCCAUGUGUAGCGGUGAACUGCAUAGAUAUAUGGAGGAACACCAGUGGCGAGGGCGGCUCUCUGGUCUGUAACUGGCGCUGAGGCUCGAAAGCGUGGAGAACAAACAGG
rnacentral:rRNA from 1 species